GUUUUCUUCCGCUUACCCCGGCUGGGAGCGCGAACGCUGUGGGGACUGGAGGUGAGGCGGUGGGGCUUAGGAUGCGCAGGAGCCCAACGGUGGUCCGCAGUCGGGAGAGCAGUGCGGGGCUGCUUCCUCCCCACUUGGUCAAUAAGUCGCCCACGUGUCCGGCCUCGGUGGCUCCUGCCAGCCGGGUGAGCUCUGCAGCCGCUCUCUGUAGAGCCUAAAACCGUGAAAAGGCCGGGCCAGCGCCAAGCUGGGCGUCUUUACUGUAACACACCCGAGCACAGCCCAGCUCGCCUGCCCGCCACCGCCAUCCAGCCCCAGGGAGCCCCACACACUCCUGGAGCUUCAGCUGCCCCCUCUCUAGUGUUUACUUGAGAUCCAGCUUAGUCCUAGAAAAAGGAGCUGAAGCCUUAGAGAGCCUGUAACAGGAAUGUGGAAACUUCUCUCAUCCUAGAUCUCUCCAGCCCUAGAAACUACUGGCUACCCGUCCAGGCGUGGUGGCUCACGCCUGUAAUCGCAACACUUUGGGAGGCCAAGGCGGGUGGAUCACGAGGUCAAGAGAUCGAGACCAUCCUGGCCAACAUGGUGAAACCCGUCUCUACUAAAAAUACAAAAAAGCCGAGUGUGGUGGUGGGCGCCUGUAGUCCCAACUACUCCGGAGGCUGAGGCAGGAGAAUCACUUGAACCCGGGAAGCGGAGUUUGCAGUGAGCCAAGAUGACACCGCUGCACUCCAGCCAGGCCAACAGAGCAAGACUACGUCUCCAAAAAAAAAAAAAAACCUACUGGCUACCUAAGCCAUCCUGCAGUCUGUUUUAACACAGCAACCAGUAAUCCUUUUAAAACCUGUCAGGUCUAGCCGAGCGCGGUGGCUCAUGCCUGUAAUCCCAGCACUUUGGGAGGCCAAGGCGGGCGGAUCACCUGAGGUCUGGAGUUCAAGACCAGCCUGGCCAACAUGCUGAAACUGCGUCUCUACUAAAAAUACAAAAAUUAGCCAGGCAUGGUGGCAGGCGCCUAUAAUCCCAGCUACCUGGGAGGCUGAGGCAGGAGAAUCGCUUGAACACAGGAGGCAGAGGUUGCAGUGAGCUGAGAUCGCGCUAUUGCACUCCAGCCUGGGGGACAAGAGCGAGACUUCAUCUCAAAAACAAACAGGAAACCUGUCAGGUUCAUUCACCUGUUGCCAACAACAUGAGGGAGUUUCUCCACAGCCCUUGAUUCCUGAAUUGUUCAACAAAUCAACAGUCACCAAUAC
rnacentral:lncRNA from 1 species